GGCAGCACGGGUGCUUGCACCUGGUGGCGAGUGGCGAACGGGUGAGUAAUACAUCGGAACAUGUCCUGUAGUGGGGGAUAGCCCGGCGAAAGCCGGAUUAAUACCGCAUACGAUCUAUGGAUGAAAGCGGGGGACCUUCGGGCCUCGCGCUAUAGGGUUGGCCGAUGGCUGAUUAGCUAGUUGGUGGGGUAAAGGCCUACCAAGGCGACGAUCAGUAGCUGGUCUGAGAGGACGACCAGCCACACUGGGACUGAGACACGGCCCAGACUCCUACGGGAGGCAGCAGUGGGGAAUUUUGGACAAUGGGCGAAAGCCUGAUCCAGCAAUGCCGCGUGUGUGAAGAAGGCCUUCGGGUUGUAAAGCACUUUUGUCCGGAAAGAAAUCCUUGGUUCUAAUAUAGCCGGGGGAUGACGGUACCGGAAGAAUAAGCACCGGCUAACUACGUGCCAGCAGCCGCGGUAAUACAUAGGGUGCGAGCGUUAAUCGGAAUUACUGGGCGUAAAGCGUGCGCAGGCGGUUUGCUAAGACCGAUGUGAAAUCCCCGGGCUCAACCUGGGAACUGCAUUGGUGACUGGCAGGCUAGAGUAUGGCAGAGGGGGGUAGAAUUCCACGUGUAGCAGUGAAAUGCGUAGAGAUGUGGAGGAAUACCGGAUGGCGAAGGGCAGCCCCUGGGCCAAUACUGACGCUCAUGCACGAA
rnacentral:rRNA from 1 species